CACCGCCUGGGGAGUACGACCGCAAGGUUAAAACUCAAAUGAAUUGACGGGGACCCGCACAAGUAGUGGAGCAUGUGGUUUAAUUCGAAGAUACGCGCAGAACCUUACCAACACUUGACAUGUUCGUCGCGACUUUAAGAGAUUAAAGUUUUCGGUUCGGCCGGACGAAACACAGGUGCUGCAUGGCUGUCGUCAGCUCGUGUCGUGAGAUGUUGGGUUAAGUCCCGCAACGAGCGCAACCCUCACUUUUAGUUGCCAUCAUUUAGUUGGGCACUCUGAAAGAACUGCCAGUGAUAAGCUGGAGGAAGGUGGGGAUGACGUCAAGUCCUCAUGGCCCUUACGUGUUGGGCUACACACGUGCUACAAUGGUAUUUACAACAGGAAGCAAAACGGCGACGUUAAGCAAAUCCUAAAAAGAUACCUCAGUUCGGAUUGCACUCUGCAACUCGAGUGCAUGAAGCUGGAAUUACUAGUAAUCGUGGAUCAGCGUGCCACGGUGAAUGCGUUCCCGGGUCUUGUACACACCGCCCGUCACACCAUGGGAGUUGGUUCUACCUUAAGGCAAGGUUUUAAACCCUUGACCACGGUAUAGUCAGCGACUGGGGUGAAGUCGUAACAAGGUAGCCGUAGGGGAACCUGCGGCUGGAUUACCUCCUUUCUAAGGAUGAGUAAAAUUAUUUUUACUCUAAAUAAUAAACAGGUUAAUGUUGACCGUCCUCAUUUCUCUUCUUAAAACAGUGUUUCUCUUGCAUGGGGGCCGGUAGCUCAGUUGGUUAGAGCACACCCUUGAUAAGGGUGGGGUCGAAAGUUCGAGUCUUUCUCGGCCCACCAAUUAAGACUAUGGGGGAUUAGCUCAGCUGGGAGAGCGCCUGAUUUGCAUUCAGGAGGUCAGCGGUUCGAUCCCGCUAUCCUCCACCAGAAACACUUAGUUAUAAAAAUUGUGAAUAUAAUAAUAAUUAAUAUCAAUAUCUAUAUCCGAACAUUAGUAAUGUUAUUAGCUAAUGUUCAAAUAAAAAUUUGAUUCAACACAGAAUUUUUUUCUG
rnacentral:sRNA from 1 species